rnacentral:lncRNA from 1 species
CAGCACGGAUUGAGGAAGCUAUCAACAUGUCGGACGAGAAGAUCGACCUUUGCCGGUCCGUGAAAUCCGAACUUAAAUCGGCUCUAUCAACGUUGCUUGGGGUACAAACUUGUUCCUGUUUCUCUCCUAAUUAGAAAACUUGUAACAAAUUUAGGUAUGUCCAUCAUUGCAAUAGGAAAGUGUCCAAUCUGGUUUUUGGUUUUGUAGGAGAAGGGUGUGUUGGUGAUUCCAACGGUACCAGGUCCUCCACCGCAUCUCCAAGCUGAUGUGGCUUCACUUGAAUCUUUCCGCAGCAGAGCCUUCAGCUUGUUGUCCAUCGCAGGCGUUUCUGGAUUCUGUCAGGUAAUAUAUAAUAAGAUCCAAUAUGCAUGCCUGCUUGUAGUCUUGUGGUCUUGUUAAUAAGAACCAUUCUGAUCUUCCGGUGUUUUAAUUUCUAUCUGAUAGGUGAGUAUACCACUAGGGCUACACGAAGAUCUUCCGGUCUCGAUUUCAUUGGUAGCUAAGUAUGGCUCAGACGGUUUCCUUCUGAGUCUCGUGGAUUCACUUGCAAGACUUAUUUGAUUGACAUGUUUGAGAAUAUAUAAUGUCAUCGUAUCAUUGGUUGAUAGAUAUAAAUGGUUUCUUGUUAAUUGUUAGUAAUAGUGAUUUCGAAAUUCAAAAAUAUGAAUGUCAAAAAUCAUUGGAGUUAUUGUGAAAAUUAAAGAAAUAUUAGGUGUCAAAUAUAUAGAAUGGACGAUAAUCGUUAUUGUAUAGGAGGCGGGUGGGAAAAUCUGAGAGAGGCGAGAGGUCUUAAAGUUGGAAAUGCUAUCAAUUUAUAUUGGCAAGACACCAAAUUUAUUUUUACAAUGUAAUAAUGGUUUUUAGAAAGAAAAAAAUAUUUUUGUCAUCUGUUAUUCAUUUCAAUAAUAAAUAAAUUUAACCGAUCAUUACUUUUGUUAAAUAAUGAGAUUUUAAAUGUGUAACAUGUGUUUAUGUCUUUCAUACCAAACUAACUACUACUUACUCUUUUAUUUAUCGCUAUUUAAAUAACAACAAUCAUAAUUAAGCUUGGUCACCAAUUUAUGCUACGGGAAAAGAAAAAACCUGACCCUUGUAUCCUUGUUGAUUGAUAAUUGCGAUUAUCCUUUAUCCAUAAACAAGCUUUACUUUUUAUAACAAAGAAAACCCAAAAACGAAAUAAGCUACCAUCUACACCUCGUCAGAUCGGGAACUGCAGCAAUGGCGACUGAUGAUGAUUUUGGAGCUUUCAUUGAGAAAUUAACAAUAUCUCCAACUCCUCCUGCCUCGUUUCCUCCUCCUCUACAGGGUCUUACUUUUGCCAUUAAAGAUAUGUACGAACGAGCUAAUAUCCCUAUGAAUGAAUACAAUGUUUACUCUGUUACUUUCUUGUCAAUUCAUUUUUUGAGCUUCUUGUUUGGUUUUAUCAGUUUCGAUGUGGAAGGACGCGUAACCGGUUUUGGUAACCCGGAUUGGUUAAGGACACAUUCGGCAGCUACUUCCACAGCUCCUGCAGUUUCAACUCUCUUAGAAGCUGGUGCUACGGCUUUGGGUAUUACCAUCCUGGAUGAAAUGGCUUGCAGGUUCAGUUCCACCUCUUUUUUUUUUUUUUUUUUUUUUCUGGUUUGUAGAGACAAUGAGAAUGUUCAAAACAGGACAGCUAAACAAACAGUCCUCAAUAAUGGCUAGAACUGAAAUAUUGACUAGUUUUGUUACGUUUUGGGGCCUUAUGUUGCUUAAUUUGCAGUAUAAAUGGAGACAAUGUGCAUUAUGGGACUCCCAGAAACCCGAUUGCCUUCGAUAGACUGCCUGGCGGAUCAUCGAGUGGCUCAGCCGUAGCUGUAGCUGCUCGUCUGGUGGAUUUUUCUCUUGGUGAGUUGAACAAAAAAAAUUCAAAUAAGUUCUAAGCAUACUAAUCAUUAUUCAUUAAAAUGUAAAUUUUGUUGUCGUUGUUGUUCUGUCUCAUUUGUUUCGAGAGAUGUUCUGUUUUUGGUCAAACAGGAACUGAUACCGGAGGGAGUGUACGAGUUCCAGCAUCUUACUGUGGAAUUUUUGGUUUUCGGCCAUCUCACGGUGCAGUUUCCACUGCCGGAGUUACUCCACUGGCACAGAGCUUGGAUACAGUUGGUAAAGACAACUAAAAACCGAGAUGUUUGUUGGUGAAAAGCCGAAUCUUGAUAUUGAUGGUUUCAACAUUGUAUGUAGGAUGGUUUGCUCGAGACACAGCCACUUUGAAACGUGUAGGCUGUGUUCUUCUGGAGCAGCCUCACUUGAACUGCAUCGAACCAGAUCAACUGAUUAUCGCGGAUGACUGCUUCAAGCUGUGUAGUGUACCACGUGAUUUUUUUGUGCAUCCUCUGGUUGGAGCCGUGGAAAAAACGUUUGGAGGUAAUAACCAUUAAAAUAAUUGUAGUCUUUUGUUGAAAGAGAAGUCAGAGUUUAUUCCUUGAUGUUUUUGUUUUGUAUCAAGGCAACACUGUAGUAAAGAAGGUGAAUCUUGGAGAGUACAUUGAAGAGAAUGUUCCUAGCCUUAAACAUUUCAUGACAAGUGACGAUGACACGACACAACAAGAGUUCAGCAUUCCGUCUCUCAUGGCUCUAUCGAAUUCAAUGAUAUUGUUACUAAUGUAAGAACAUCUAUCUCAUUUACCUUCUAACGAUUGAUUCGGUUUCUAAUAGUUACAUAGUCAUAACCAAACUUCAGGCAUGAACUGAAGAUAAACCACAGUGCAUGGGUCUCGUCAGUGAAGCCAGAGUUUGGUCCUGGAAUUUCAGAAGGGAUAGAGGAAGCUAUCAGGACGUCCGAUGAGAAGAUCGACCUUUGCCGGUCCGUGAAAUCCGAGCUUAAAACAGCUCUUUCGACGUUGCUCGGGGUAACGUACAAGCUGGUUCCUAUUAGUCCCAGAAUUAGAAACUUUAAACAAAUUAGCUAGGCAAGUUUUACUCAUGUGAGUAUAUCUAAAAGUAAAAUAUAUGCUUUUGUAGGAG